rnacentral:rRNA from 1 species
GACGAACGCUGGCGGCGUGCUUAACACAUGCAAGUCGAACGGAAAGGCCCUGCUUUUGUGGGGUGCUCGAGUGGCGAACGGGUGAGUAACACGUGAGUAACCUGCCCUUGACUUUGGGAUAACUUCAGGAAACUGGGGCUAAUACCGGAUAGGAGCUCCUGCUGCAUGGUGGGGGUUGGAAAGUUUCGGCGGUUGGGGAUGGACUCGCGGCUUAUCAGCUUGUUGGUGGGGUAGUGGCUUACCAAGGCUUUGACGGGUAGCCGGCCUGAGAGGGUGACCGGCCACAUUGGGACUGAGAUACGGCUCAGACUCCUACGGGAGGCAGUAGUGGGGAAUAUUGCACAAUGGGCGGAAGCCUGAUGCAGCAACGCCGCGUGCGGGAUGACGGCCUUCGGGUUGUAAACCGCUUUCGCCUGUGACGAAGCGUGAGUGACGGUAAUGGGUAAAGAAGCACCGGCUAACUACGUG